rnacentral:rRNA from 1 species
GAUGAACGCUGGCGGCGUGCCUAAUACAUGCCAGUCGAGCGAACGGACGCGAAUCUUGCUUCUCUGAUGUUAGCGGCGGACGGGUGAGUCACACGUGGAUAACCUACUUAUAAGACUGGGAUAACUUCGGGAAACCGGAGCUAAUACCGUAUAAUAUUUUGCACCGCAUGGUUCAAAAGUAAAAGACGGUCUUGCUGUCACUUAUAGAUGGAUCCGCGCUGCAUUAGCUAGUUGGUAAGGUAACGGCUUACCACGGCAACGAUGCAUAGCCGACCUGAGAGGGUGAUCGGCCACACGGGAACGGAGACACGGUCAAGGCUACUAAGGGAGGCAGCAGAAGGGAAUCUGACGCAAUGGGCGAAAGCAUGACGGAGCAACGGCGCGUGAGUGAUGAAGGUCUUCGGAUCGUAAAACUCUGUUAUUAGGGAAGAACAUAUGUGUAAGUAACUGUGCACAUAUUGACGGUACCUAAUCAGAAAGCAACGGCUAACUACGUG